rnacentral:misc_RNA from 1 species
CCCGAGGAUCGGUCCUCGGCGACCAGGCCGAGGAGGAGGUGGCGCGGCGCCACGGCGGGCUCCCCGAGCCCCCGGGCCUCCCGCUGCGACAGCACGACCGCCUUGACGGCCCGCUCCGUGAACCGCUCGAACACCGCCCUGACGACGCCGACGCCCCCCCUGCGCGCCCGGCGCGUGGGCGCCGCCGCGGCCGCGGAUGCCGGGCGUGGGAGCGGGUGCGCCAGCACCACCGCCCUCCCGAACCCCGCUGCGCCCCAGCGAGCCGCCGGCGCGGCCAGCCUCCGCGCCGCGGCGCCGCGGCCCCCGGCGGUGAGGACGGACGACGAGGUGGAGCAGCAGCACACCUCCAUAGCUACCGCACCAGCAACGACACACAAAAAAAGAAACAAGAAAAAUUAAGGAACUACCUUAACCCUCCC